GGGCAGAGACCCGACGCCAACAGAGCGGUGGUUAUGAGUGCGCGACUUUACCGAGCUCAGAGCGGAAGUGACGUGCUCUAGUCUCGCGCUGCCGUAGUCCUCCUCUCUCUUUUCUCUAUGGUUUCCCCUCCCAGUCUCUUCCUCACGGCGACGGGAAAUGGCCGCCGAGCUGCGAUAAGGGAGCGGGGCAGCUGGGAGCGCCGCCCGCCAGGAAUUAAUAUUUCUGAGAGCACAUUUUCAGAAUUUUAAAAUCACUUCAUUGAUUAACAUCUAGAGGCCUAAGAAGCAAUCCAGUGAAGAAAAUGGGUCGAUCUAAUUCUAGAUCUCAUUCUUCAAGAUCAAAGUCCAGAUCUCAGUCCACUUCUAGGUCAAGGUCCAGAUCACAUUCUAGAAAAAAGAGAUACAGUUCUAGGUCUCGGUCUAGGACCUAUUCACGAUCUCGCAGUAGGGAUCGUGUUUAUUCUAGAGAUUAUCGCAGAGAUUACAGAAAUAAUAGAGGAAUGAGACGCCCCUAUGGUUACAGAGGAAGAGGUAGAGGGUAUUAUCAAGGAGGAGGUGGUAGAUAUCAUCGUGGAGGUUACAGACCUGUCUGGAAUCGAAGACACUCCCGAAGCCCUAGGCGGGGUCGUUCACGUUCCAGAAGUCCAAAGCGAAGGUCUGUGUCUUCCCAGAGGUCCAGGAGCAGAUCUCGUCGAUCUUACAGAUCUUCCAGGUCUCCAAGGUCCUCUUCAUCUCGUUCUUCAUCCCCAUACAGCAAAUCUCCUGUCUCUUCCAAAAGACGUGGGUCUCUGGAAAAGCAGGCUAAGAAAACUGAGGGAGCUCCUUUGCAAGAUAGCCCUUUAAAAAGUAAAUCACAGGAUGAACAGAAAGAUACAUUUGAACAUGACCCAUCUGAGUCCCUUGACGACUUUAACAAAUCAUCAGCAGCUUCUGGUGACAUUUGGCCUGGCCUUUCAGCAUAUGAUAACAGUCCAAGGUCACCCCAUAGUCCUUCUAUUGCCUCCCCACCCAGUCAGAGUUCAUCUUGCUCUGAUGCCCCCUUGCUCAGCACAGUUCACUCAGCUAAAAACACACCUCAACAUUCACAUUCCAUUCAACAUAGCCCUGAGAGGUCUGGCUCUGGUUCCCUUGGAAAUGGUUCCAGUCGCUACAGUCCUUCUCAGAACAGCCCAUUGCAUCACAUCCCUUCAAGGAGAAGCCCUGGAAAGACAAUCCCUUCACAGAGUGCUCCACGUGAGGAGGCUCGAAUGCGCUCAUUUUAUCCCGAAGUUGGGGAACAGGAAACUGCAAAGGGUGGAAAGUUUCUAAAAAGGUACACAGAUGAAGAGUCUAGAGUAUACCUGCUUGAUAGGGGUAAUACCAGGGAGAAAGAGGCCCAGAAGGAGAGAGGAUCAGAAAAAGGGAGGACAGAGGGAGAAAGGGAAUGGGAGGAUCAGGAAGCUUUAGAUUAUUUCAUUGGUAAGGAUGCUGGGAAGCAAAAGUUUAGUGACUCUGAAGGGGAGGAGACAGAGGAGACAGAGGAUUAUGGACAGUUCAGAAAAUCUGUCCUCGCAGAUCAGGGUAAAAAUUUUGCUACUGCAUCUCACCGGAAUGCUGAGGAGGAAGGAACCAAAUACAAAUCUAAAAUUUCAAUGAAGGGCAAUAGAGAGAGUGAUGGAUUUAGAGAAGACAAGAGUUAUAAACUUAAAGAGACUGGCUAUGUAGUGGAAAGGCCUAGUGCAACAAAAGAUAAGCACAAGGAAGACGACAAAAGUUCUGAGAGAAUAAUGGUGAAGAAAGAAACUCAGUCACCUGAGCAGGUAAAGUCUGAAAAGCUCAAAGAACUCUUUGAUUACAGUCCCCCUCUACACAAGAAUCUGGAUGCGAGAGAAAAAUCCACCUUCCGAGAGGAGAGCCCACUUAGGAUCAAAAUGAUAGCCAGUGACUCCCAUCGUCCUGAAGUUAAGCUCAAAAUGGCACCGGUACCUCUUGAUGAUUCCAAUAGACCUGCUUCCUUGACUAAAGACAGGCUGCUUGCUAGUACGCUUGUCCAUUCUGUCAAGAAGGAGCAAGAGUUCCGAUCCAUCUUUGACCACAUUAAGUUGCCACAGGCCAGCAAAAGCACAUCAGAGUCAUUUAUUCAGCACAUUGUGUCUUUGGUUCAUCAUGUCAAAGAACAAUACUUCAAGUCAGCUGGAAUGACCCUAAAUGAGAGGUUCACUGCAUAUCAAAAAGCUACUGAAGAACAUUGCACCCGGCAAAAGAGCCCAGAAAUACACAGGAGGAUUGACAUCUCUCCAACUGCCCUGAGGAAGCAUACCCGUUUAGCAGGUGAAGAGAGAGUCUUUAAAGAAGAAAGUCAAAAAGGAGAUAAAAAAUUAAGAUGCGAUUCUGCUGAUCUUCGGCACGACAUUGACCGUCGUAGAAAAGAGCGAAGUAAAGAACGAGGGGACUCUAAAGGUUCCAGGGAAAGCAGUGGAUCAAGAAAGCAGGAGAAAACUCCAAAAGAUUACAAGGAUUACAAACCAUACAAAGAUGACAGUAAACAAAAAAGAGAGCAAGACCGUUCUCGAUCUUCCUCAUCUUCAUCCCCGUCUUCCGCCUCAUCCAGUUCACGAGAAGAAAAAGAUGGCAAGAAAGAAAGAGAUGAAGAGUUCAAAACCCACCAUGAGCAGAAAGAAUAUUCAGGUUUUACAGGAGUCAGCAGGCCGAGAGGCACCUUUUUUCGAAUUAGGGGCAGAGGAAGAGCCAGAGGAGUUUUUGCUGGAACAAAUACUGGUCCCAGCAACUCAAAUGCUACUUUUCAAAAGAGACCGAAGGAAGAGGAGUGGGAUCCUGAAUAUACCCCAAAAAGCAAGAAAUACUUCUUGCAUGAUGACAGAGAUGAUGGUGUGGAUUAUUGGGCCAAAAGAGGAAGAGGCCGUGGCACUUUCCAGCGUGGCAGAGGGCGGUUUAACUUCAAAAAAUCAGGUAGCAGUCCAAAGUGGACACAUGACAAAUACCAAGGGGAUGGGCUUGUGGAAGAUGAAGAAGAAACAAUGGAAAAUAAUGAAGAAAAGGACAGACGCAAAGAAGAAAAGGUAGAAAACUCUGGCUUGUCGGUGAAUUGAAGAACAGAUUUCCUUCCUCACCAUACCCUAAGAGUAAUGUGAAGAAAAAUUCCAGCUGAAAAAGCAGCCCUUGCACCACCCACACAGCAUUUUUAAUAUUUUUUUGUCGUCAAAUGAAUACCACCCCCACGAUGGGAGCUCUCUUCUGAACAGAUCUAAAUAUGACAAGUAUAGCUGUAGCAUAACAGGUGCUACGUUUCUCCGUCCAUAUACCGCUACUGGGGAAAUGCCUCAACUGUUUGUGCAACAGCCCAAAAAGUAGCUUGACUUCUAUACACUGUAACCGGAAGAUUUGUCCUACAUUCCAAAUGCAUGUUCCAUUUUUGCAUAUGACAGAACAAGGUAAACCACUAGUGGGAAAAGAGUUACUUUUAAGAAAAUCUGUUUAGUAUAUUUCAGACUUUGCAUGCAUAAUGUAUGAAGUCUUCUGAAUGGAGCACUAGUUGCUAUCUUAAAACUUUUCAAGCACAGUGAAUAACACAAAAUGACACUCUCAAGACUACGUUUUGAAGAGUUUUAAUUGGUGACAUGUGGGUUACCAAUAGAAAGUUUUAGUCAAAAAGUUUGUGGCACUAUUAAUCCAGCUGCCCUUUGUGUCAGUCUUUGUUCCAGUUCAUAAAACUGCCUUUUCAAUUUCUUUACAUGGGCUUUCCUCUUCAGGUAAAUAUUCUGACAAGUGUGAAUUCUCUAUUAAGUUUACAGUCUUAUAUGGAAUAAAAAUCUAAAAGUUUUUAAAA